rnacentral:rRNA from 1 species
AAGAGAAAGAAAAUUCGAUUCCCUAAGUAGCGGCGAGCGAAAGGGGAAGAGCCCAAACCAGGAACUUGUUCCUGGGGUUGCGGAUAGAUCAUAACGCUUUGAUUUCUUUAGUUGAAGCGAACUGGAAAGUUCCGUCGUAGAAGGUAAUAACCCUGUAGGCGAAAAGGAAAGAAAAGUAGAUCUACUCCAGAGUACCACGAGACACGUGAAACCUUGUGGGAAGCUGGGAGGACCAUCUCCCAAGGCUAAAUACUACCUAGUGACCGAUAGUGAAGCAGUACCGUGAGGGAAAGGUGAAAAGAACCCCGGAAGGGGAGUGAAAUAGAAUCUGAAACCGUGUGCCUACAAUCGGUCGGAGCACAUUAAAGUGUGACGGCGUACUUUUUGUAGAACGGGCCAGCGAGUUACGAUAUAUAGCAAGGUUAAGCACUUAUGGUGUGGAGCCGAAGGGAAACCGAGUCUGAAUAGGGCAACUAGUUGUAUAUUGUAGACCCGAAACCGGGUGACCUAUCCAUGGCCAGGAUGAAGCGGAAGUAAAAUUCCGUGGAGGUCCGAACCACGUUGGUGUUGAAAAACCAUGGGAUGAGCUGUGGAUAGCGGAGAAAUUCCAAUCGAACUCGGAGAUAGCUGGUUCUCCUCGAAAUAGCUUUAGGGCUAGCGUCGGGUAAUUGAGUAGUGGAGGUAGAGCACUGAAUGGGCUAGGGGCUGACAACAGUUACUGAACCCUAUCAAACUCCGAAUGCCAUAUACUUGUACCCCGGCAGUCAGACUACGAAUGAUAAGAUCCGUGGUCAAAAGGGAAACAGCCCAGACCAUCAGCUAAGGUCCCAAAGUGUAAGUUAAGUGGGAAAGGAUGUGGGAUUUCUAAGACAACUAGGAUGUUGGCUUAGAAGCAGCCACUCAUUUAAAGAGUGCGUAAUAGCUCACUAGUCGAGAGAUCCUGCGCCGAAGAUGUAACGGGGCUCAAACUUACCACCGAAGCUAUGGAUGUGUACUUUGUACACGUGGUAGAGGAGCUUUCUGUACAGGUUGAAGUCAUACCGUAAGGAGUGGUGGACAGUACAGAAGUGAGAAUGCUGGCAUAAGUAGCGAAAAACAAGUGAGAAUCUUGUUGACCGAAUAUCUAAGGUUUCCUGGGGAAGGCUCG